rnacentral:rRNA from 1 species
UACGGAGGGUGCGAACGUUAAUCGGAAUCACUGGGCGUAAAGCGCGCGUAGGCGGUCUGUUAAGUGGGAUGUGAAAUCCCCGGGCUUAACCUGGGAAUUGCAUUUCAAACUGGCCGACUAGAGUACGGUAGAGGGAGGUAGAAUUUCCUGUGUAGCGGUGAAAUGCGUAGAUAUAGGAAGGAAUACCAGUGGCGAAGGCGGCCUCCUGGAUCGAUACUGACGCUGAGGCACGAAAGCGUGGGGAGCAAACAGGG